rnacentral:tmRNA from 1 species
UCACUUCACAUUAAGGCGCCAAUCCCUAUAUAGGGAGGGCCGGGUUCGCCCGGCUAUGGCGAUAAAUUGCGGCGUGCAAUAGACGCAGCGGACCCGGGGGCGGUACCCGGCAGCUCCACCAAUUGCGCCGCUUGGGCCUUAUGUUCGCAUAAGGUCCGGCGGCUCAGCUGAAGGGGCUGAACUAGGAUCGACGUGUGUUCAAAAGCGCAGUUUUUGCCCGGCCUGAAUGCGCCGUAAAAACGUUCAAAACCAUAAGUGCCAACGAUAAUGAGGCUCUUGCGAUUGCUGCGUAACCCGGUCCUCACGGACUAGGUUAUACCAGACAAAAGCGCGGUUCGGACCCCACCGGGCAACAGAAGGGGAAACCA